rnacentral:rRNA from 1 species
CCUACGGGUGGCAGCAGUGGGGAAUAUUGGACAAUGGGCGAAAGCCUGAUCCAGCCAUGCCGCGUGUGUGAAGAAGGCCUUCGGGUUGUAAAGCACUUUCAGUGGGGAAGAAAGCCUUGGGGCUAAUACCCUCGAGGAAGGACAUCACCCACAGAAGAAGCACCGGCUAACUCCGUGCCAGCAGCCGCGGUAAUACGGAGGGUGCGAGCGUUAAUCGGAAUUACUGGGCGUAAAGCGCGCGUAGGCGGCCUGAUAAGCCGGUUGUGAAAGCCCCGGGCUCAACCUGGGAACGGCAUCCGGAACUGUCAGGCUAGAGUGCAGGAGAGGAAGGUAGAAUUCCCGGUGUAGCGGUGAAAUGCAUAGAGAGCGGGAGGAAUACCAGUGGCGAAGGCGGUCUUCUGGACUGACACUGACGCUGAGGUGCGAAAGCGUGGGUAGCAAACAGGAUUAGAUACCCCGGUAGUC